UACGUAGGGUGCAAGCGUUAAUCGGAAUUACUGGGCGUAAAGCGUGCGCAGGCGGUUUUGUAAGACAGAUGUGAAAUCCCCGGGCUCAACCUGGGAACUGCGUUUGUGACUGCAAGACUUGAGUGCGGCAGAGGGGGGUAGAAUUCCACGUGUAGCAGUGAAAUGCGUAGAGAUGUGGAGGAAUACCGAUGGCGAAGGCAGCCCCCUGGGUCGACACUGACGCUCCAUGCACGAA
rnacentral:rRNA from 1 species